rnacentral:tRNA from 1 species
AAAGCUUUAAGGAAAGCUCUUUGUUUUUUGAAAUGAUGCUUUUAUGAGAUAGAGCUUUUUUAGAUAAUGCUUUUUUAGAUAAUGCUGGGGAAGGUUUUCCGGUUUAUCUCGGAGGGCUUGUAGCUCAGUUGGUUAGAGCGCGCGCUUGAUAAGCGUGAGGUCGGAGGUUCAAGUCCUCCCAGGCCCACCAAUUUACCUAUCCAUUUGCCUUUAUCCGUUUAUUUGCCGAUUUAUCGGUCUAUUGAAUUUAAGUGUUGGUAGCAGUUUUUAUAAUGAUGAGAAAUCAUGCUUAUAAAAGAACUCCUUAUAAAAGGCUUGUUUUUAAAAUGUGACGCUUAUCCAUUUCGCUUAGGCAAGAGAAACUUCAAGUGGUUCAAAUGCAAAAGGCUUUAAAUUUUGCAAAACAAUUUGAAUUUUAAAGUGAUCCAAGUUCGUGAUCUCGAAUUUAAAAGUUUCAAAUGCUUUAUUCUUUUUUGGGGGCCGUAGCUCAGCUGGGAGAGCACCUGCUUUGCAAGCAGGGGGUCGUCGGUUCGAUCCCGUCCGGCUCCACCAUUUAGAUCAUCAUCAUUGUUGUGAGAACACUCUUUA